rnacentral:tRNA from 1 species
GGUUCAGUGGUGUAGUUGGUUAUCACGUCUGUCUCACAUCGUUGUGUUCACAGGAGGUCUCCGGUUCGAACCCGGACUGAACCA